rnacentral:piRNA from 1 species
GAGGUGUGGGAGGAAGGUCCAGGUAGUA